rnacentral:rRNA from 1 species
GGGUGCCUACGGGAGGCAGCAGUGGGGAAUAUUGGGCAAUGGGCGCAAGCCUGACCCAGCAACGCCGCGUGAAGGAAGAAGGCUUUCGGGUUGUAAACUUCUUUUCUUGGGGACGAAGAAAGUGACGGUACCCAAGGAAUAAGCCACGGCUAACUACGUGCCAGCAGCCGCGGUAAUACGUAGGUGGCAAGCGUUAUCCGGAUUUAUUGGGUUUAAAGGGUGCGUAGGCGGACAGUCAAGUCAGCGGUAAAAAUGCGGUGCUCAACGCCGUACAGCCGUUGAAACUGGCAGUCUUGAGUGGGCGG